rnacentral:rRNA from 1 species
UACGUAGGGUGCGAGCGUUAAUCGGAAUUACUGGGCGUAAAGCGUGCGCAGGCGGCUCGGCAAGUCAGGUGUGAAAUCCCCGGGCUUAACCUGGGAAUUGCGCUUGAAACUAGCGGGCUUGAGUGCGGCAGAGGGGGGUGUAAUUCCACGUGUAGCGGUGAAAUGCGUAGAGAUGUGGAGGAGCACCGAUGGCGAAGGCAGCCCCCUGGGUCGACACUGACGCUCAUGCACGAAAGCGUGGGGAGCAAACAGG